AACCCAUACUGAGGACAUUUCUACAGGAAAUCCUUGAACCUGUCCCAUGUCUCAAAAAGAGACUUCAAUUCCAUUUGCACAAAAGAGGAUAUGUCAUUCCUAAGAUU